rnacentral:ncRNA from 1 species
GACGCCUGACAUAACCUGGGUGUCCGCCGUAGAGAUUACGGCGGAAGAAUAGGGAAGAGGGUGCAAGUCCCUCGCUGCCCCGCAACUGUGAACGGUGACGAACGCCGCUAGUACCCAGUACCCCAUAAUACUUAUCGUAUUCUGCUGGUUUAUUUGCCGCGCCGACUACGUUGCACUUUUCAGUUGCAUAGCUACGGCUAUGUAACUGAAAGUGCGCCUUGCCGGCUCGCCAAAUCCCGGCGCAAUCUUACGAAGUUUUACGAGGUACUGGGUACCAGAGCCACUGCCGGAGAAAUCCGGUGGGAAGGCGCGGCCGGAGGAUGAUCCGUAAGCCAGGAGACCUGCCCGGAUGCAGAUGGAUGC